AAACAGGAAAUAAAAAUAAUUUAAUACAAAACUUUUUGUACCUUCACCUUUAUAAUGGACAUCUACUCACAUUUUUUCAUAUUCAUAUUUGCCAUUUCUCCAGGCUUAAUUAUAAGUGAUUCAGUCACUAAUACUGAAAAAGAAGUCUCAAGUGCAGAAGGUUUGGCUGUGACACUGAAUUGCAGCUACUCAACAACUGAUAGCUAUCCUGUACUAAACUGGUACCGAAGGUAUCCAAAUCAUGCCAUGCAAUUCAUUCUGUACAAAGGAGCACGAUCUAGUAGGGAUGAUUAUAAAGCCGAGUUUGCUCGUGGUCGUUUUUCUUCUACAACGGGACAAUAUUCAACUAAACUCCAAAUUUCUGCUCUCUCUUUGAGUGAUUCUGCCAUCUACUACUGCGCACUAAGACCCACUGUUUUAUAUUCUGCUCAGGCACUGAACAAAAUCUAA